AACUGUGAGCUCAUGCCCUGAGUCAGAUGCUUAACCGACUGAGCCACCCAGGCGCCCGGGAAUGCACUUUCCCUCAUCUUGGAAUCGCCAGCCAAUGACUCGUGAGCAAAAUUGAAUGCGUCGCUUCUGGGCUACGGCCAUCAGUUCUGCUGAAAGUUCUCAAAUGGUCUUCCUCUGCUACAGUGAGGGCAACGUUCAAGAUGGCGGCAGCUCUGUCCCAGGGGUCCUGUCACUGAACAGAUCCCCUGGCUGACGUGCGAUCGACAUGGAGCCUAGUUGGGAUGGUUGGUUCUAUGUGUCAACUUCACGGAGCUAAGGGAUGCCCAAACAGCUGGUGAAACAUCAUUUCUGGGAGCGUCUGGGAGAGUGUUUCCAGAAGACAUUAGCAUUUGAAUUGGCAGAUCGGGUAAAGAGAUGUCUUCACUCGUGUGGCCCGAGGUUCUGAUCAGAACAGAAAGGAGGAAGGGUGAGUUCUCACUCUCAGCUUGGGGACCCCAUCUUCUCCUGCCCUUGGACAUUGGCGCUCUCCGCUCUCAAGCCUUUCGGACUCGGACUGAGUUGUGCCACCAGCUUUCCGGGAUCGCCAGCUUGCAGACGAGAGAGGGUGGGCCUUCUCAACCUCUACCAUCAUGUAAGCAACUCCUGUAAUAAGCCUCCUCUUACAUAUACGUCACUCUAUAUAUCCUAUGGGCUCUGUUUCUCCGGAGAACCCUGGCUAAUACAGGAAGCCGCGAAAAAUCUCCUGAGUGAUACAAAAAGCAAAUGUAUUGUCCUACGUUGAUUAAAAGUCAACACUUCCAGUCGGGCCCUGUGGGGCUUUCUCAGCCACGCUGUCGGCCCCAAGGUUCUGCAUAGUUUUGUGCCCUCCCAACCCUGCAGUAGAUCAACACAGCCCGCAGGCUCCCUUCUGGGCAGACAGACCUGGAAGAUAGUGGGGGGCUGGGCAAGGAAGGGGUCAGCGACAGCAGGAAGUGAGCUCUGCCCUGGCUAGAGGCCAGCGUCUUUCUGGAUCAGAAGCCACCAUUCAAGACACUUCUCCAAAGAAGACAUCCGGAUGGCCCACAGGCACAUGAGAAGAUGCUCAACGUUGCUCCUCAUCAGGGAAAUACAAAUCAAAACCACACUCAGAUAUCACCUCACGCCGAUCAGAGU